CUCGGCUUUCUCCAGCCCAGGCAGCCUCGCUGUGGGCCGGGGGGAGAGAGAGCCCAAGCUCGCGGAAGGGGGGUGGGGAAAAAGGGCCGGGAGGGGUCUGAGGAAGGAGAAUGUCGGAGCUGGAGGAGGGGAGAGAACUCGCCCCUAGGGGCCGGUUUCAGGAGAGGAGGAGUCUAUUCCAGAAACUGUGUUCAAACCUGGGGAAGAUACUAGAGGCUCUCCAGGUUGGAAGAAGAGAAGCAUCAGCAUGCAGCUGGCACACCAGGGAGGGAGCUGCCUCGGAAAGUCAGAUCAGGACGUUGGAGGAGAUUGUCUCUAAGGUUCCCUUCGGUUCUAAGGUUCUGAGCUCCUAACCCCUUGGUGCCCUUGGUCAUGUUCUAAAGCUCUAACUUGUGGAGAGGUUCAGAUCUCCGUUGCUAGAGGGAGAACCUUCGUUGGGAUUUCUACACACCAGAGAAUUUCCAGACUUCAAUCAAUCCUCAUCACCUUAAUGCCUCCCGACUUAUCAAGUUACUUUAAGGUUUAUAAAGUACUUUAAAACAAGCAUGUCUCCAUUUUACACACACAUCGCAAGCCCGGGAGCCAGGAAUUAUGGGCAUUUUUAUUCGCAUUUUACUAAUGAGAAUUUGAUGUUCAAGUUACUACUUGUCCAGGGUCACACAGCCGGCAUUCAGACUCUGAUCUCCCUGCCUCCAAAGCCGACACUCUACUGUACCCGCCCUUCAUAACUGGAGGAGGCGGGGGAAGUGUUGGACUCCCUGUCACUGGAUGUGUCCAAAGAGAGGCCGGCGCUGUGGCCCAAGCUGACUUCCGGUGCCUCCUGUGACCUUUGGUGAGGAACUUGGAGGCAGGGGAUGGCUUUCCCGAGAACCCAGAGAAGCUGGGCAGAGAUGGCGCUCAGCCCUGCUCCUGACACUUGGGUUGGCUGCCCGGCUGACCCGUAUGACCAGGAGACUCCCCUCCUCGCCCCUGCCCCCCGGCUUCUCCAAGAAGCCUUUGCCACCUGUCCCGAAGACCAGCCUGUCCCCUCGCUGGUUAUCUCCAAAGGCUCGGGUUGGUACCAUUUGUACCCGGUUCUCUGUGUAGUGUUUCUGGGAGACCUUUGGGAGGGCACUGCCUAGGCCAGCUGGUUAGCUCCAAAGGCUCCAAUUGGUACCAUUUGUGCUGGUUCUCUGCAUGGUGUUUCUGGGAGACCUUUGGGAGGGGUCUGGCUCUUGCCUCUCUGGCUCCCCAUCUCCCUGGAGCGCCUGGCCCGGGGCAGGCCCUCAUCACUGACCCCACUCACUGAGGGCCCAGACGAGGCCGGGCCUUUGCUUCUGUGGCGCUCUCUGGUUCUGCUCUCUCGGCAGACCCCCCGAGUGGAGACGUUUCCCCCAAGAAAUCCCAUCUUGGUGGUGUGGAAAUCUGCAGUGAAUCUCUAGGUCUCCCCCUCUGCUGAGCAGACACCAGGUUAUUAAUAGAGCUCUCUGCGGAGCUGGUUCCUGGGGAGUCUUAGCAGCUCUAAGAAUAACUGGGAAGAAUAUGUGCUCAUGGAUAGCACUGAGAUCACUGGUCAUAAAUAAACAAGGAGCAUUUCGGGGCCCUCGUGGGAGGAGGAAGGCCCCCUCGCACCAGGAGGGGCAGAGGCAGGAGACGGGGAGCGGGCUGCGGAUCGCCCCGGGAGAAGACGGCUGCUGAGCAGCAGAAAAGGCCGAGUCCCCUUCCCCGUGCUCUUUGGGCCCAGCUGGCUUGGGCGGGGGGAGCCUGGCAGUUGGCACUUGGGAUUCUCAGAGUCUGGGCCCUUUCCUUCUGUUCAUUCUCAAGCUUCAGGGAGAAAUCAGAAAAAUCCAAGCUGGGAGGGGCCCCGGACACGUUCCGCUCUGAUUGGCUCCUUUGGCGGAUGGGAAAGUGAGGCACAAAAUGGCAAGGACCCGGCCCAGAGAAACACCGAGGUCAUUCUGAAGGGCUGGGGGGUCCCGAGGUCCUGUCAUCUUUAUCUUACUGAGUCUGAGGCCCCACAGGCGGGAGCGGCGGAACAGUGCUCUCUCCUCCGAUUUCCUGGCUCCCAAGCCAAGUCUUCACUUCCCCAAACCCCCAUAAAUGACCGGCUCUCUGCCAUCCAGGCCCAACGUAUGGGAAGGAAAAGCUGCCAUGCAGAAGGGAGGAGACUCCAUUAGUCAGGCAGGAGAACUCGGGGCUCUGAAUGAUCCCACCUCCAAGCUUUUGCUCGGGCUGUUUCCUCUGCCCGGGACACCAUCCUCUCCCUGCUCUCCCUCUCAGACAACCUCCUGAUUACAGACCCAACCUUUGCAGAGGGACCUAGAGGGAUUUGCUCAUGUUGGGGCCUCCGGGCUUGCCUGGGGACUGUGGCCUUUCCCUAAAGCCCCCUCCUGGGGGGGCAGAGGACCUGGAAAGCCCGGGUGGGCUCCGCCACAGGAGGGCUGCUUACCCUGUGCCAGGCCUUCAGCUGUGCCCCCUCCAGGCCCAAGACCUUGGGAAGUGAUCCGGGAUGCCCAUCCUCCCUUCCCCAGCCCGGCUGGUGCUCCCAUGGAGGGGGUCUCUCUGGGGGAGGGAAGAUGGGUGCCGGGGGGCGGCUUGGGAAGUGAGCCACGGCCGCCGCCCCCACGGAUUUGUCAGAGGAAUAAGAGAGAGAUGAAUAGCACUGGCGAGAGCUGGCAGCUGGCAGCUGCACAUGGCAGGGGAGCUCCUCCUCGGAGCGGGGAGCCCUGUCUGGGCUCCAGCACCAGCUGCGCCGCUUCCUCGCUGGGCGCUCAGUAAGUGAACUGCCCUUCUCGGGCCUCUGAAUGAGCGCAGGUGGGCAGGAGGGUGAUGGGCUGGAGCCGAAGGUGGAGGGGGGAAGCCCCUCGUUGUGCAGGGGGGAAACUGAGGCCCAGAGAGGUCCCAGGGGCACAGCUAUGGUAUUGGAAGGGACUGAGGAGCUGACCCAAGGGCUCAGGCCUUAGGAAGGUUGUCACAGAGGGGGAAACUGAGGCUUGAGAAAAGGAGGGUGCAAACUUUCAAGGGCAACAGAAAUGGCAGAUAUUCUCAUCUUUGCGAUUAAUACUAUUUCUUUAUGAUUAAUAAGCUUCUCUCUGGGGAAUCAGAAGAGGAGUCGUCACAAUCGCUAGAAUUUGUAAAGCACAUUUACACGCAUCUCCUGGGGUCUCACAAACAAUGCUGCCAGGAAGGCUUUACCAUCCCCAUUUUGCAGAUGGGUAAAGUGAGGCUGAGAGAGGUUAAGGGAUUUGCUUAAGAUCAUAUAACUAGAAGGUUUUAGAGACAGGAUUUGAAUCCGGCUCCUCCGGGUUCUCCAUCCUGGGCUUUGAAGGGAAGGAAGAUGGCUUGGCUACUUGUUGGGCCUCCUGAGAUGUCCCCAUUGGUCCCCCCAGGGAGGCCGGUCACGGGGCCUCGGGGUGGUUCUGCCUGCCCGGGAGGCCCCCGGUGGCUCAGUGGGGAACGUUCUCCUGACAUGUGGUGAUGAAUCGAUCAUUUUCAUGGGAUCGAUCAACCCAUUCGAGCCGGCAAUCAGACCGAUUGAUUUUUUUUUUCAUGAGCUUUGACUGACUGUUGGCCCGAGUUGAUGGUUCUUUCGGGGGGCUUUGGGGAUUCGGGCUAAUCGUCCUUUUCGGCACGUCUCUUCUCGUUUCCAGCCAUUUCUCGGACAGAUGUCAGCGUGAGAAAGGGACCUUCUCUCUUCCAGAUGUGGAGGCAGUGGAGGCCCCUCAUCCAGAAGGGGCCUUUUCUUAUUCAGUUGAAGAGUGCGGGGACCUCAAGAUGCAGAGGGAAGGGGACCUGGAGAAGGAUGAGAGGCCCUGCCCCCUCAGCAACUGUGGAUGGGAGGUGUUUUGGGGUCCUGGGAGCAGCCCCCCUCCCUUCUGCAGAUGUUCCGGGGGAGGCCACAUGGCCUUGUGCUCACAGUGAUUCACCGGACAGAACAGAGGAGGUCGGGGCAGAGGUUGGGAGCCUCCUGCCUGGCUCACUUGGGUUCGGGGGCGAGCACAGCCUCUCCUGGCCGGGGACCCCUCAGGAGGAGGUAGAGGAGGUCUACCUGGCCAAGGCCUCCUGAGGGAGAGGCCCUGUUUCACGCAGCCAUGACUGGAGAAGUUGGGCAAGCCUGGGUUCCUGGGGCCGAUCCCAGCCCCUCCCCCCAGCCUUGCCGGCCCACCCCCCACGCAGACACCCAGAGUGAUUGUGGGAAGGGGCCCUGGAGCCCGGGAGGCCCAGCUGGGGAGGCCAGUCAUCCGCCUUCAGGCUCUGGGCAGCUGCUGGGCCGGGCCUUGGGUCCGAGGUGACCUAGUUAAGGCAAACGGGGAGCUGCUGAGCGCCGGAGCCCACCCUGACGGCCCCCACCUGGGGAAGAGCUGGCCCAGGGGAAGGCCCAGCAGGGCCGGCAUCUACUGCCUGGGAAACUGGGCUCGGCCCAGCUGGGAGAGGGCCCGGAGAUGGCUCCACAGGGGCUCCGUCAUCCUGGCCUGCAAUCCCCCCGCCGACCCGGCCUGUAGCACUGGGAGACGGCGAGUUCCCGGGGGCAGGCGUGGGGAGGACAAGAGGCCGCCUUGCUCUCAGCGGCCGGGGCGGGCCUGCUGUGUGGCCUCUGGUGGGCUGCCACCCUCUCUGGGGCCCCAGGUUCUCCAUCCUGCUCCAGGGCUCCCAGCCCUCUCUCCUCCCUCCUCCCCUGCUCCUAUCGUCACUAGGUCCCCUCUGGACCUCUCAUUUUCCCCUCCCUGCCCCCCCCGCCUCCCCCCCUCCCUGCUCCCCCCACCUCCCUCCCCAUCUUCACACUCCAGACCACAAGAGUGCAUUUCUAGGGGCUAUUAACAAGGGAAAAGAGAGAGACUAAUUCGGAAAUUACCCGCCAGGGAGAGGCCAUUACCAGAGCUGCCAUUAGAAGCAGCUCGAGCUUCUGAAGGGCCGCCGUGGGAGAGGGACGGCUCUUGUGCCGCUGGUCCCAGAACCAGGAGCCCCGGGGCGGGGCAAGUGGGGCCGAUUGCGAAAUGAUAUGAGAACCAAUUUUCCAUAAACUCCCGGGAUCACAGAUUUACUGCCAGAAGGGAUUGUAGAGGUCACCAAGUCCCAAGCGUCUCCUUUUUCAGAUGGAGAAACUGAGGCACAUAGAGGGGAAGGGGCUUGCUCAGGAUUCCACACUCAGGUUGGGUGAUUCCAAUGACUCUUUCUUCUCUCCCUCCC